UCUUGGAUCUCAGCUCCCAAGGUUCUUCCUAUCAGCAACCAUGCUUGCCUGCCGAUACUGCCUUUGUCCGCCUCCCGUAAGCACUGGAUUCCUCUGCCGACAUGCUGCCUUUGUCUGCAUUUGCACCUGCACUUCAUCACUUCUGGUUCUCUUUCCAUCUGCAAUUCUGACCUUUCCCUUGCGUGACCAAAGGUAGGACUUUGGGAGAGACCAGAGCGCGAGGUGCAGGUGCAUCUGCAGGUGAAUGCCAUCUUGGCUUCUUCUAUACAUCACUUUUCUCUCUCCAGCUCCGCUACGAACUCAUAUAUAAAAAUAAACCGUGGAUGCUUUUCUUUUCUUUCUUUAAAUUGUUGGCCGAGGCCGGAAACUCCAGACACGUACGGCCCUCUUCAUUCGGAUAAUUCACUUGCUUCCAGCUGAUUGCCCCCUUCAGAAGAUUGUGAAUUGUGAUCGUUGGGAUAUCUGAUGGGUUUCAGGCCCUCGGCAAGAUGAGAUUACUACGACCUGAUCCCAGAGAUGGAGCCAUCGUGUCCGAAAUUCAUAGUGCUGCAAAUUGAUUGAGUUGUCUUCCUUUCGAGUUGCGAUCUGUGGCAUACUCAUGAAGCGACGCUGAGUACCAUGUUUUAGCAACUAGAUGGUCCUCUAUUGGAGAAUGUUUUAUGAAAAGUGGCAGCAUCCCUAGCUCGUAUGUAUUUUCAUAAAAAAAAUAGAGAUGGAAAUGAAACCAUGGGAUUCCUCUUCCAGUUGUUUUGUUUUCCAAGCUAGCUGGCUAGUGGUAACGGAUUGCUGGCAAUCCAGAAGAUCGAGUAGUGUCUUUUCUCUGAGGCGGCUUUUGAAUCUGCAUCUUUCUUCUUUUCGAUCCCCCAUAAAGGAAGAAGGAAUCAAUGCUAACACUACUAUGAUAAUAACACACACACAGAGGGUCAGUCUUUGCAGGCAAAGAAAUACAGUAUCCUUAAGGUUCA